UACGGAGGAUGCAAGCGUUAUCCGGAAUGAUUGGGCGUAAAGCGUCCGCAGGUGGUUGGGUGUGUCUAUUGUCAAAGCAUCAUGCUUAACAUGAUAAAGGCAGUAGAAACUACACGUCUAGAGUGCAUUCGGGGCAGAGGGAAUUCCUGGUGUAGCGGUGAAAUGCGUAGAGAUCAGGAAGAACACCGGUGGCGAAAGCGCUCUGCUAGGCCGCAACUGACACUGAGGGACGAAAGCUAGGGGAGCGAAUGGG
rnacentral:rRNA from 1 species